UACGGAGGGGGCUAGCGUUGCUCGGAAUCACUGGGCGUAAAGCGCACGUAGGCGGAUUGCUAAGUCAGGGGUGAAAUCCUGGAGCUCAACUCCAGAACUGCCUUUGAUACUGGCGAUCUCGAGUCCGGGAGAGGUGAGUGGAACUGCGAGUGUAGAGGUGAAAUUCGUAGAUAUUCGCAAGAACACCAGUGGCGAAGGCGGCUCACUGGCCCGGUACUGACGCUGAGGUGCGAAAGCGUGGGGAGCAAACAGGG
rnacentral:rRNA from 1 species